CCUACGGGAGGCAGCAGUGGGGAAUAUUGCACAAUGGGGGAAACCCUGAUGCAGCGACGCCGCGUGAGUGAAGACGUAAUUCGUUAUGUAAAGCUCUAUCAGCAGGGAAGAAAAUGACGGUACCUGAGUAAGAACCCCCGGCUAACAACGUGCCAGCAGCCGCGGUAAUACGUAGGGGGCCAGCGUUAUCCGGAUUUACUGGGGGUAAAGGGGGCGUAGGCGGGAAUGCAAGUCUGGAGGUAAAGGCGGGGGCUUAACCCCCGGACGGCUCUUGAAACUGCACGGCUGGAGUGGAGGAGAGGUACGUGGAAUGCGUGGUGUAGCGGUGAAAUGCAUAGAUAUUAGGAGGAACACCAGUGGCGAAGGCGGCUUACUGGACUGUAACUGACGUUGAGGCUCGAAAGCGUGGGGAGCAAACAGGAUUAGAUACCCCAGUAGUC
rnacentral:rRNA from 1 species